rnacentral:rRNA from 1 species
GACGAACGCUGGCGGCGUGCCUAAUACAUGCAAGUCGAGCGGACGUUUUGUUGGUGCUUGCACCGACUUAACGUUAGCGGCGGACGGGUGAGUAACACGUGGGCAACCUGCCCUGUAGUCUGGGAUAACUCCGGGAAACCGGGGCUAAUACCGGAUGAUACCUUUUAACUCAUGUUAGAAGGUUGAAAGAUGGUUUACGCUAUCGCUACAGGAUGGGCCCGCGGCGCAUUAGCUGGUUGGUGAGGUAACGGCUCACCAAGGCGACGAUGCGUAGCCGACCUGGGAGGGUGAUCGGCCACACUGGGACUGAGACACGGCCCAGACUCCUACGGGAGGCAGCAGUAGGGAAUCUUCCACAAUGGGCGAAAGCCUGAUGGAGCAACGCCGCGUGAGUGAAGAAGGAUUUCGGUUCGUAAAACUCUGUUGUAAGGGAAGAACAAGUAGCGUAGUAACUGGCGCUACCUUGACGGUACCUUAUUAGAAAGCCACGGCUAACUACGUGCCAGCCGCCGCAGUAAGAC